ensembl:snRNA U6 U6 spliceosomal RNA
GUGCUUGCUUUGGCAGCACAUAAACUAAAAUUGGAACAAUACAGAGAAGAUCAGCAUGGCCCUGGCGCAAGGAUGACAUGCAAAUGUGUGACGCAUUAAAAAAAAAA